AUGGCCUCAUCCGCCGCUGCUUCCUCUCCCCUCUCCGGCCAGAUCAUCGAGCGCCUUACCCGCACAAACUACGUCCUAUGGCGCACUCAGAUCACGCCGCAGGUGAGAGGAGCUAGAGUCUUCGGGUACGUUAAUGGAAGCAUGGCGGAGCCGACCGAGUUCGUCGUCAGCAAGGACAAGGAUGGAAAGGAGGAAACCAUCCCCAACCCUCUUCAUGCCGUCUGGUUCCGAGAGGAUCGGCAGGUACUCGGUUAUCUUUUGAAUAACCUGUCCAAAGAGGUGCUAGUGCAGGUCACCUCCAUCGCGCAUGCACGCGAGCUCUGGACGGUGCUGGCGAGAAUGUUCUCGUCGACGUCGCUGUCCCGCAUCAACAACAUCCGCGCCGCCCUCACCAAUGCACAGAAAGGAAUGCAAUCGGUGGCCACCUUCUUCGCAUACAUGUGGGGACUUGCCGACGAGCUCGCUGCGGCUGGCAAGCCGUUGAAGGACGAUGAGUUAAUCUCUUACAUCCUCAACACGCUUGACAUGGAGUACCAGCCGCUGGUGUCUGCUCUCGACGCCCGCACCACUACGGUCACCCUCGACGAGCUGUUCGGGCAGAUGAGCAACUUCGACCAACGGGUGGCUCUUUUCUAG
rnacentral:rRNA from 1 species